GCUAGGGUAGCUCAGUGGCAGAGCGGUCGUUUCAUAAGCGAUAGGUCGUGGGUUCGAAUCCCACCCCUAGCA
rnacentral:tRNA from 2 species